UAAAGCGCAUGUAGGUGGUUAAGUAAGUCAGAUGUGAAAGCCCCGGGCUUAACCUGGGAAUUGCAUCUGAUACUGCUUGGCUAGAGUUUGAUAGAGGGAAGCGGAAUUUCCGGUGUAGCGGUGAAAUGCGUAGAUAUCGGAAGGAACACCAGUGGCGAAGGCGGCUUCCUGGAUCAAAACUGACACUGAGAUGCGAAAGCGUGGGUAGCAAACAGGAUUAGAUACCCUGGUAGUCCACGCCGUAAACGAUGAGAACUAGACGUUGGAGACAUCUAAGUCUUUAGUGUCGAAGCAAACGCGAUAAGUUCUCCGCCUGGGGAGUACGGCCGCAAGGUUGAAACUCAAAGUAAUUGACGGGGGCCUGCACAAGCGGUGGAGCAUGUGGUUUAAUUCGAUGCAACGCGAAGAACCUUACCUGCCCGUGACAUCCUCGGAAUCCUGCAGAGAUGCGGGAGUGCCUUCGGGAACCGAGUGACAGGUGCUGCAUGGCUGUCGUCAGCUCGUGUCGUGAGAUGUUGGGUUAAGUCCCGCAACGAGCGCAACCCUUAUCUCUAGUUGCCAGCGAUUCGGUCGGGAACUCUAGAGAGACUGCCGAUGACAAAUCGGAGGAAGGUGGGGAUGACGUCA
rnacentral:rRNA from 1 species